UCAUUUUACAGAUGAAGAACUGAGGCAAACAGAAGACCAGUGGCUGGCCCAUGUUCAUACUGCUACUUCUUAUGAACCUAUGGUCCCCUGAAUGGAGAGAUAAAUUAUUGAGUUCUUGAGAAGAUCUAAGAGAAGAGA
rnacentral:lncRNA from 1 species